GGGGGUGUAGCUCAGUGGUAGAGCGCGUGCUUCGCAUGUACGAGGCCCCGGGUUCAAUCCCCGGCACCUCCA
rfam:Camelus ferus unplaced genomic scaffold scaffold1664, whole genome shotgun sequence.